GUGGGGAAUCUUCCGCAAUGGACGAAAGUCUGACGGAGCGACGCCGCGUGAGUGAAGAAGGCCUUCGGGUCGUAAAGCUCUGUCAUCAGGGACGAACGGCCGGUGGAGUGGAAAGCCACCGGAUUGACGGUACCUGAGAAGGAAGCCACGGCUAACUACGUGCCAGCAGCCGCGGUAAUACGUAGGUGGCAAGCGUUGUCCGGAAUUAUUGGGCGUAAAGCGCGCGCAGGUGGGAUCUUAAGUCCAUUUUGAAAGUUCGGAGCUCAACUCCGUGAUGGGAUGGAAACUGGGAUUCUUGAGUACCGGAGAGGAAAGCGGAAUUCCAAGUGUAGCGGUGAAAUGCGUAGAGAUUUGGAAGAACACCAGUGGCGAAGGCGACUUUCUGGACGAUGUCUGACGCUGAGGCGCGAAAGCUAGGGGAGCGAACGGGAUUAGAAACCCGUGUAGUCC
rnacentral:rRNA from 1 species